AUGCCUUUGCCACAAAAUUCUGUUCUUGGGGCUAAAGAUCUGCCAAGGGCCAUGCUUAGCGAUCAUAUAGAAGAACAACUCUUUAAACGGCUCAAUGAAGAGAGACACGAACGGGCUAUUCAUGAUGGGAAAAGUUUUGAUGAGGUUAGUGCUGCCUCAUCAAUUUACAGAAUCUUACGUUUAUGGAUCCUAUGUUUUCUUUUUCUUGUUUAUAUCUUAGUUUCCUUUCCUGAAUAUGAAAUAUGUGGUUUGUGUACUUCUUAUAAACAGAGAUGUGUUGCUCCUUCUGCAUACUUUUAUUCCUUUUUUUCAUAA
rnacentral:rRNA from 1 species